AAGGCAAAAACAUUUUUCUUUUCCUUCUACUUCAUUGCCUCUUUAUUGAGUGUCUCACGUAGGGCUGGUCACAGUCAGUGGAGGGUUCCGAUCCAAUUCGGAGAAAUUAAAGGGUCUCCUGAUUCAGUUCGGAUUCGGAGAUUCAGCCAUUGAAUCGGGCUGAAUAUCCACUGAAUUGAAUCUGGGACCAAAGCUUUGCGCAGUCCUAAUGUUUAGCAUCUCA